GUAAGAUGAUAGCAUCGGAGACUCCUUUUGGAAUAACUGAACUAUUAGGUAUUCUCUGUGUGAAGUACACAUUCUUGGCAUACUUGUGGUGAGCACCAUGUUUGUGAAUUAAUAAAGAUUUAUGAAACUCGCAUGAUUUUUGCUUUUUGUUAGGUGGAUCUGGCAAGCUCUGGAAAGUGUCGCAGUUCUGCGGUUCCUGACGUGAGGAGAACUUUAAAUGCCACAAAUGUAAACCCGAAAGAGACCAGGAUGCUGAAACGCUCCCUCACCAUAUUCGGAAAUGUGAUUUUUGCCCUCGGCUCUUAGGGACUGGUGAGCAUCAUCAACAUCCGCAUCAUUAUUUCUCCACUUUUUUCAACAUCUGUGUAAAUUCUGAGUUUGAUGUUUAAUUUGAUAACUGGUUUAGUUUAGGCGGGAACUGCCGGACAUGUUUAGUGGUCUAUUCCUUUAAAUAUGUGAUAUUUUUUCCAGUGACCACUUUACACUUGCAUAUCAUAACCACAUGCACAAUACUGGUGAAAUCUUACACACGUCACCCUUAUCUAACUUUUUUAUAAAAUCAGCUUGUUGAUAAAUUCUCGUUCAGUAAUCUCACAAAAAUGUUCUAUCCAUGUGCAUAUCUGAAUGGGAAGAAGCACAUGAAUCAUCUGAACAGACAGCAGAUUUUACAACCGGUUGGAUCUGACAGAAAAUCACAGACAUACUUGCUUCCCAUUCUUUUGAGUUCAGUCAGUCCCACUGAACCUAAACUCAGCUCAAGUCACUGUGGAGAUGGGCCGGAGCUCAGAACUUUUCUCCCCCAGCUGGAGAAACCAGGCCAAACCGAACCACCUGGGCAUUACAGCCGUGGAUCUCGACCUGGAGAGGAAAAAACAGAGCUGAUGGUAACAAGCUACAUUUUCAAUAACAAAAUCAAUAGUCACUUUAAACAUUAAACAAG
rnacentral:lncRNA from 12 species